CCCACCCGUUUUUGUGGCCUUUUUCCGCUGGACGAACUUGGUGCCCUGGCCUUCGGGCGGUUAUUUUUGGGCACGGCUUUGCCCGCGGCCUAUUUUUGGCACACGGAGGCCCCUCGCAAAGUCUCGGGGCAUUCCGAGUCCGGCGGACGAAGUUGGCCAGCCCCACCCCCUAAGGCUAUAGCCCACACGUUUUUGGGGCCUUUUUCCGCUGGACGAACUUGGCGCCCCGGCCUUCGGGCGGUUAUUUUUGGGCGCGGCUUUGCCCGCGGCCUAUUUUUGGCACCCGGAGGCCCCUCGCAAAUUCUCGCGGCAUUCCGAGUCCGGCGGACGAAGUAGGCCAGCCCCACCCCCCAAGGUUAUAUAGCCCACCCGUUUUUGGGACCUUUUUCUGCUGGACGAACUUGGCGCCCUGGCCUUCUUGCGGUUAUUUUUUGGGUGCGGCUUUCCCCGCGGCCUAUUUUUGGCACACGGAGGCCCCUCGCAAAGUCUCGCGGCAUUCCGAGUCCGGCGGACGAAGUGGGCCAGCCCCACCCCCCAAGGCUAUAGCCCACCCGUUUUUGUGGCCUUUUUCCGCUGGACGAACUUGGCGCCCCGGCCUUCGGGCGGUUAUUUUUGGGCGCGCCUUUGCCCGCGGCCUAUUUUUNN
rnacentral:lncRNA from 1 species